GUCACUCUCUGAUUCGAG
rnacentral:snRNA from 1 species